rfam:Thermoactinomyces vulgaris strain NRRL F-5595 F5595contig10.1, whole genome shotgun sequence.
AAAUCGAAUAAGAAGCUACCGUAGACAGUAGGUGCGGAUUGAUCCGCUUAAUAUCCUGCCGAGGAGCUUGCGCUGUUGUCUAUGACAAAGCCUAGCCUUCGACUGCCUGCGGAGGCUUUUUCUUAUUUCUUC